CUCCUUUCUUCCCUUAGUUUUGGAGCAAUAUGUUGCAAGGCAGGACUCAGGGAGUGUGUUGGGGCUGAGAGAAGAAACUGGAAGUUGGCUGUUCCAAGAGUGUUCUUGAAUGGAGAUAUUCAGCCUGCAGUUAGGGUUUCUUGCUAAGUUGUUCCUCUCAUUUCAGCAGAGUGGGAAGUUGAUAUGCACCGCAAAGACACAAGAAGAGAAGGAAGCCUAAGCAUAGAAGAAAAUUUUAAACAAAAUAGAAUUCACCAUGUGCAUUUGAAAUUUAAGGCUGUUAUAAUGGGAGACUCAAGAUGUGGAGAAAGAAGAGAGAGAUUUCUACCAAAAUUUUCAGUGGCCAAAUACGGGCACCAUAUUUUGUACUUAUCCUCCUGGGUAACCUCAGGGCACCAACUUCCAUUCAUUUCCUUCCACUCCAAGCCCAGAAGCCCAUGUUAGCAGUGACUACAGACUGGAUAUUAUCUAAACUCUCAGUGAAUCACAGCUGACAGUACUGCUAUUUCUAAGCCACAGAAUCACUCUUUGAACAAAAUGCAAGCGCUGUGUCUUUUCAACCUGUUCUUCAACAGUGGAAGCAGCAGGAUUCCAGCACUGUAUAAUAACUGUCAGAAACAAUUUCUGCUCUGUAAGAGAGGUGAAGCAAAAUGUCAAAAUAUUUGAAUACAUUUCAUUGAGG
ensembl:lincRNA